CCCUCACCACUCUCUCUCUCUCUCUCUCUCUCUCUCUCUGAGUCAGCACAGGAGCCGUGGGUUUUCACACACUCUCUCUCAAUUACAAAGUCAGCAUAGAAGUAGUGGGUUUUCAUUGUCACUGGCACCAAGCAAGCUCCAGCAGCUCCAGCAAUAGCAAGAAAGGGCAUCAAAUCUCUCUCUCUCUCUCUCUCUCUCUCUCUCUCUCUCUAGCAGGCUAAACUUGGUUUGCUAAUCUGGGUUUUUCAUCUUGAACCCUUUUACUACCUUACUGGUAUUCUACAGCUUUGUCUGUACAGUUCCACCCAUUUACCGCAUCCACAGAUAUAUACAUGGCUCUGUGUACAUUCUCUUUACCCGGGCACUUUAAUCGGCCAUUGACUUCAGAUUUCGCCAAAAAUGGUCUCCUCUCUACUCAAUUUCAGCACAAACACCACCAGGUCAAGAAAAGCGCAGGUGGGGUUUGUGCAUCACUGUCUGAGAGAGGGGAUUAUCAUGCACAGAGGCCGCCAACGCCUCUUUUGGACACUAUCAAUUAUCCAAUCCACAUGAAAAAUCUGUCAAUUAAGGAACUGAAACAACUGGCAGAUGAACUGAGGUCUGAUGUAAUCUUUAAUGUUUCAAAGACUGGGGGUCAUCUGGGUUCGAGCCUUGGUGUGGUUGAGCUCACUGUGGCUCUUCAUUAUGUGUUCAAUGCUCCUCAGGACAGGCUAUUGUGGGAUGUUGGUCAUCAGUCUUACCCACACAAGAUUUUGACUGGUAGAAGAGAUAAGAUGCACACAAUGAGACAGACAAAUGGGCUGUCAGGCUUUACUAAGCGAUCGGAGAGUGAGUAUGAUUCCUUUGGCACGGGUCAUAGUUCAACCACUAUCUCAGCAGGCUUAGGGAUGGCUGUGGGAAGAGACUUGAAGGGAAAAAAGAAUCAUGUAGUUGCUGUUAUAGGCGACGGUGCCAUGACAGCAGGUCAAGCAUACGAAGCCAUGAACAACGCGGGUUAUCUUGACUCGGACAUGAUUGUUAUUCUUAAUGACAACAAACAAGUCUCUUUGCCCACUGCAAAUCUAGAUGGGCCUAUACCACCAGUAGGGGCUUUGAGCAGUGCUCUAAGUAGGUUACAAUCAAACGGGCCGCUCAGAGAAUUAAGAGAAGUCGCAAAGGGAGUAACCAAGCAGCUUGGUGGGCCUAUGCAUGAACUGGCUGCAAAAGUUGACGAAUAUGCCCGUGGAAUGAUCAGUGGUUCAGGGUCAACCCUAUUUGAAGAACUUGGGCUCUAUUAUAUUGGUCCUGUGGAUGGCCACAACUUAAAUGACCUUAUUUCGAUUCUUAAAGAGGUUAAGAGCACUAAAACAACCGGUCCAGUCCUCAUUCAUGUUGUCACUGAGAAAGGCCGAGGAUACCCAUAUGCAGAAAAAGCAGCUGACAAGUACCACGGAGUGGCCAAGUUUGAUCCAGCAACUGGGAAACAAUUCAAAGCCAGUGCUAAAACUCAGGCUUAUACGACGUACUUUGCAGAGGCUUUGAUUGCAGAAGCAGAAGCAGACAAAGAUAUUGUCGCAAUCCAUGCUGCAAUGGGUGGUGGAACAGGCCUGAAUCUUUUCCUUCGCCGAUUCCCAACACGAUGCUUUGAUGUUGGGAUAGCAGAACAGCACGCUGUUACUUUUGCAGCCGGAUUGGCCUGUGAAGGCAUUAAACCUUUUUGUGCAAUCUACUCAUCUUUCUUGCAGAGGGCUUAUGACCAGGUUGUGCAUGAUGUCGAUUUGCAGAAGUUGCCUGUGAGAUUUGCGAUGGACAGAGCUGGGCUAGUUGGAGCAGAUGGUCCUACACAUUGUGGUUCUUUUGAUGUCACUUACAUGGCAUGCCUACCAAACAUGAUAGUAAUGGCUCCUUCCGAUGAGGCUGAGCUUUUCCACAUGGUUGCAACUGCUGCUGCCAUUGACGACAGACCAAGUUGUUUCCGCUACCCAAGAGGAAACGGGGUGGGUGUUGAGCUGCCACCAGGAAACAAAGGCAUUCCUCUUGAGGUUGGGAAAGGCCGUAUAUUGAUAGAAGGGGAGAGAGUAGCACUGUUGGGGUAUGGAUCAGCUGUUCAAAGCUGUUUGGCUGCAGCUGCCUUGGCAGAAGCCCGUGGUUUACAGUUAACAGUCGCAGAUGCCCGCUUCUGUAAGCCAUUGGACCAUGCUCUUAUUCGCGCCCUAGCAAAGUCACAUGAGGUCUUGAUUACAGUAGAAGAAGGAGCAAUUGGGGGGUUUGGGUCUCACGUUGUUCAGUUCCUUGCCCUAGAUGGACUUCUUGAUGGCACAGUAAAGUGGAGGCCACUGGUUCUUCCCGACCGGUACAUUGAGCACGGUUCACCGGCUGACCAACUGGCAGAAGCUGGUCUUACACCAUCUCAUAUUGCAGCAACUGUAUUCAAUAUGCUCGGACAAACAAGAGAGGCUCUGGAACUCAUGUCAUAGAAAGAAACGGUGGGGAUUUCAGCUCUCUCAACAAUGUACAAAUACAGUGGCUCUCAAAGUUGAACAAGGUCAAGUGGUAGGAGCAACAGAUGAAAAGCCACAAUUGUACUCUCACGAUCAAAUAAUGCCGCAAGAGUGCCUCACAAUUGUUUGUAUGAUUCGCGUCAAGUUAGCGUUGGCGACUGAGGCAUAAAGAUAAAGGGCCCCCAUCUUUUAGUUUCACCUCGGGUCCCAAAAAUCUCACGGCCAGCCCUGAAGAGACGACGUCAAAAAGAAGUAGCAGGAUCAAAAGUGAAGUGGUUCUUGUUCUGAUUAAAAGACGGCGUUCUUGUUACCUUUCUAUCAAUUUAGGAAAAUUACUGAGAAACUUCAUAUACUCGAAUGAGGAACUUCAGUGUUAAUAUGAUAUCAGAUACUGCUAAUAAUAUGCUUUACUACU